rfam:Rhodotorula toruloides ATCC 204091 scaffold00029, whole genome shotgun sequence.
CCCUCGAUAGCUCAGUUGGAAGAGCGUGGGACUGUAAUUGGCUCACCCGUUUAUCCCAAGGUCACCGGUUCGAUCCCGGUUCGAGGGA